GGAUCGAUGAUGACUCCCUAAAAUGCAUUCCUUGGAAAUCUGAACAAAAUGAGUGACAAUCCCUACCGUCGUCCUCAUCGGAACUGAGGUCC
ensembl:snoRNA SNORD116 Small nucleolar RNA SNORD116